AUGGUCCGGACUCUGCUGCUCCUCACCUUCCUGGCCUCCUGCACAGGGACUUGGGCCCAGGUUGUGCUGAGUCAGAUCCCCUCUGUGUCAGGGUCUCCAGGGGAGAAGGUCACCAUCUCCUGUACCCGCAGCAGUGGAGAUAUCAGUUCUGACUAUGUGCACUGGUACCAGCAGCGCCCUGGGAGUCCCCCCACAAACGUGAUCUAUAAAGACAAUAAAAGACCCUCUGGGGUUCCUGAUAGGUUUUCUGGGUCCAUCGAGAGUUCCUCCAAUACUGCCUACCUGACCAUCUCUGGGUUGCAGCCUGAAGACGGGGCUGACUAUUAUUGUCAGUCCUAUGAUGAUAGCGGCUAUAGUCCCCCAGUGCUCCAGACCCAUGGGGGAAGUGAGACCAAAUCUCCCCAGAACCCUCCUGCCCCAUCAACUCAGUUCUGUCAGGUUUCCUCUUCUAGCCUCUGCUGGCUUAGCCACCCACACUUUGUCUCUCUUAGUAACUUUAGGGGCAUCAGCCUAUUCUGCACCCAGAACUGUGGCUUUUGUGUUGGUGGCGACUGCUUGUAUUGGUACCAACAGAACCCAGAGACCCUUCUCUGGUAUCUUCUGCUCUACAACACGGACUCCAACAAGCACCAGGGCCAGGUGGUCCCAGUAGUUUCUCUGAAUUCAGUGAUGUCUUGA